rnacentral:rRNA from 1 species
AUUGAACGCUGGCGGCAUGCCUUACGCAUGCAAGUCGAACGGUAACGCGGGGCAACCUGGCGACGAGUGGCGAACGGGUGAGUAAUGCAUCGGAACGUGCCCAGUAGUGGGGGAUAGCCCGGCGAAAGCCGGAUUAAUACCGCAUACGACCUAAGGGUGAAAGCGGGGGAUCGCAAGACCUUGCGCUAUUGGAGCGGCCGAUGUCAGAUUAGGUAGUUGGUGGGGUAAAGGCCUACCAAGCCUACGAUCUGUAGCUGGUCUGAGAGGGCGACCAGCCACACUGGGACUGAGACACGGCCCAGACUCCUACGGGAGGCAGCAGUGGGGAAUUUUGGACAAUGGGCGCAAGCCUGAUCCAGCCAUGCCGCGUGCGGGAAGAAGGCCUUCGGGUUGUAAACCGCUUUUGUCAGGGAAGAAACGCUCCGGGCUAAUACCCUGGGGUAAUGACGGUACCUGAAGAAUAAGCACCGGCUAACUACGUGCCAGCCGCCGCCGUAAUAC